GUCGAGCGGNNNNNUGGGAGCUUGCUCCCNNAAGUNAGCGGCGGACGGGUGAGUAACACGUGGGCAACCUGCCUGUAAGACUGGGAUAACUCCGGGAAACCGGGGCUAAUACCGGAUCAUUCUUUCCCUCGCAUGAGGGAAAGCUGAAAGAUGGNUUNGGCUAUCACUUACAGAUGGGCCCGCGGCGCAUUAGCUAGUUGGUGAGGUAACGGCUCACCAAGGCGACGAUGCGUAGCCGACCUGAGAGGGUGAUCGGCCACACUGGGACUGAGACACGGCCCAGACUCCUACGGGAGGCAGCAGUAGGGAAUCUUCCGCAAUGGACGAAAGUCUGACGGAGCAACGCCGCGUGAGUGAUGAAGGUUUUCGGAUCGUAAAACUCUGUUGUUAGGGAAGAACAAGUGCCGGAGUAACUGCCGGCACCUUGACGGUACCUAACCAGAAAGCCACGGCUAACUACGUGCCAGCAGCCGCGGUAAUACGUAGGUGGCAAGCGUUGUCCGGAAUUAUUGGGCGUAAAGCGCGCGCAGGCGGUUCCUUAAGUCUGAUGUGAAAGCCCACGGCUCAACCGUGGAGGGUCAUUGGAAACUGGGGAACUUGAGUGCAGAAGAGGAGAGUGGAAUUCCACGUGUAGCGGUGAAAUGCGUAGAGAUGUGGAGGAACACCAGUGGCGAANGNGACUCUCUGGUCUGUAACUGACGCUGANGCGCGAAAGCGUGGGGAGCGAACAGGANUANAUACCCUGGUAGUCCACGCCGUAAACNAUGAGUGCUAAGUGUUANAGGGUUUCCGCCCUUUANUGCUGCAGCAAACGCAUUAANCACUCCGCCUGGGGAGUACGGCCGCAAGG
rnacentral:rRNA from 1 species